AAGGGGUAUGGAAGGAGAGAAGGUUAGCGCUCCCCUUGAUAAGGAUGGAAGAGGUCCUUGUGGCCUUUACAACACAUGUAUGGUUAAGGCAUUGCCACUUUGUGGCAUCUAACCAUUUAAGUCU